rnacentral:rRNA from 1 species
UACGAAGGGGGGCUAGCGUUGCUCGGAAUCACUGGGCGUAAAGGGUGCGUAGGCGGGUUUUUAAGUCAGGGGUGAAAUCCUGGAGCUCAACUCCAGAACUGCCUUUGAUACUGAAGAUCUUGAGUCCGGGAGAGGUGAGUGGAACUGCGAGUGUAGAGGUGAAAUUCGUAGAUAUUCGCAAGAACACCAGUGGCGAAGGCGGCUCACUGGCCCGGUACUGACGCUGAGGUGCGAAAGCGUGGGGAGCAAACAGG